UGGGCAGUGAAAUAGAUAAAAAAAAAACUUUGUGGCUCGUAUAAGGAAUAAAAAUUAUCAUUUGACUGGUUUUCUUUAUGUAAAAUGAAACGUAUAAGCUGCGCUCUGCAUGAUCAAUUCAUCUCACGUGGCGACUAGCCAAUGGUUCGCCGCUGGCCGAUGUUGCUCGUUUCGAAUAUUAUAUCAUUUGGAAUCGUGUUGUAUAAUCGUGAAUGAAACGUAUAUAAAUACGUACACGUAUCAAUUCAGAGCGUGGCGUCCAUAAAUUGUACAAAAGUAGAAGUGCCUAUAUGCUACGCCUAGAAUCAUAGAAUAGUCUCAGCGUUCAAUUAAUUCUCUCAUUUGAUGAACAUUCGGCUCAUUUUUCUUCACAGCUUUAAAUAGUCAGGAUCAGUUCGUUUCCAAGUACAUAAAUCGCCACUCUGUGCUUCGGCUAAAUGACUCUGAAAACCCUGCAGCCUAUAAACUUGGUUUCAGGAAUGCGCUACCAAAAUUCAAAUACAGUGCUAGUUUCAACCGUUAUACCAAUUCAAAAAUAGCGGAGUUUGUCUUCUGUAAAUAACUUCUGGUGUAUAUAGUGCUACAAAAAGCGAUCGAUUUUGGUGCAACUGAUCGGUACAAAAUAAUGAUUUGACAUUUUUUUGACAUCAUCUGCAGCGGGAAAUCGAUUACUGCUGUCAACUUCCAGAUUAAAUAUCGUCACGUGUUCAAACACGAAUACAGCUCUUAUUUAAAUAGAUGAAUCACGGGAAGUCUCAUAAUCUUUGAACUAUCCCAAAAUAAUUAGUAGUCAUAUGUAUACAUCCGCGUUCAAUGUUUUACUCGCUAAAUUGAAAAAUUCUAUUUAUAUCCCAGAGUUAUUGCUCGUAAACUUAUCUUCAGUAUUACACCCGCAGUAUGUUCACAGAAUCAAUAACAAACUUUACUUCGACAGAAAGAAAUUUCCAUACAGAUUUUAAUUUAACGUCGCAAAUAUCUUUAUUAUAAAAGAAGAAUGAAAAAACAUAUUCCACUCGUCAGAAUAAAUACCUAUACCAUAGAUAUCCUAUACAUACAAUUUGUCUAAUUAUAAUAUCUAUGGAAUUUCAUAGGCGAUUUCACGCCAUGCACAUAAUUUUACAAAGUAUAUAAUGUUACAAUUUGCGGUUGGUAAUUAUGAAAAUUUCCGCCCGACCUGCAACAUCAAAUGUUCUGAGAAACUUUUUUUGAGAAGUCUCAUUCUUCCUAAGCAGCUGACGUAUUCAAAUUGAUCUGUUCGAAAACAGUCUUUGAGUAGUGGAAGAGGUGAGCUUGUAGCAAUGUAGUUGCUCCUAAAAAUAAAAAAAUCAAUUCUGCCUAUGCUGUUUGAACGUAAUAAUGUGAGAUGUAACGUAAAACAUGUAUAUUUAUCUUAUUAUACAUGUGUAUUUACACGUGACGCUAUCUUCCCUGCAACUCGCUAAUUGUCAUGUGACGCGAUAUUAUACGAGCAUUAUACUCACGCUGCAGGGUAUCAUUUAGCUAUACUUCUUUUUUUCGCUCGCCAGAAAACAAAUAUGAUAUAAUGUAAAUAAAUUGUGAAGGCUAUAAAUACAA